UACAGAGGGGGCUAGCGUUGUUCGGAAUUACUGGGCGUAAAGGGCUCGUAGGCGGCCAACUAAGUCAGACGUGAAAUCCCUCGGCUUAACCGGGGAACUGCAUCUGAUACUGGAUGGCUUGAGAUUGGGAGAGGGAUGCGGAAUUCCAGGUGUAGCGGUGAAAUGCGUAGAUAUCUGGAGGAACACCGGUGGCGAAGGCGGCAUCCUGGACCAACACUGACGCUGAGGAGCGAAAGCCAGGGGAGCAAACGGG
rnacentral:rRNA from 1 species